GAGCUCACCUUGCCCAUCUGUGGAGUGGGCAGGCGGCAGUGGUGAAGGUCGUGGGGCCAGGGCGCGGGCUCGAGGCUGCUGCUGGUCACACAGCCUUCCGCACCGACAGCAGGGCGGGACGCCUACCGCCCACCCGCUCAGCUCGCAGGCUCCCUCUCCUUCGGCCUGUGCAGGGCAGGCCGCUGCGGUCCGGCUUGGUCCUGAGCGCCGAGAUACACCCAAUGUGGCCCCAAGAAAGGCAGAGACAAGCACCGCGGGAGCCUGAGGCCACGUCUCCCUGCAGGGCCAGGGGGCAAGCCCCAUCCCAGGAGUGGAAGAGAGGAGGGGGCCGGGAGGCCCUGGUGGAUGCGACGCAGAAGCAGGCCACGACCGACCGUGCUGCUGCCCUUUGCUGUGGUCCCGCUUUCCUCCGGGAUGUCCCGAGUGGCUUCACUGGAAGUCAUCCUCCUGGAGGACCUGGAGGAGGGAAGCACUGGGCCUCAGGACCUCCAAGCCAAUCAUCUGAGCCUGGGGCUCUCAGGGCUGAGAAAAGACCGGGGUUUUGGGUGUGUGUGCAUGUGUGCCUGUGUGUGUGUGUGUGCCUCUGUGUGUGUGUGCCUCCGUGUGUGUGUAGGCGUGUGUGCCUCCGUGUGUAUCUGUGUGUGUGUGUCUGCAGACCUCAGAGAGGGAGGCUUCACCCUGCGGCCGGAGGAGGUGGUGAACUCAGGGUGCGUCCCCGCCGAGCCUCUCGUGUCCUGCCGCCGCCGCGCGAGGGGCCUGCCUCGGCUACUCCCAGGCGCACAGGGGCCUGAGCCGGCGGGCGCCGAGAACCUGGGCCCAGGGACGGCCUGGACCCCACCGACACUGGCCCAGGAGCGCAGCCUCAGUCUCACUGCCGGGUCGGUUCUGCCCAAGGUCACCGCGCGCCGCUCGGAUUCCCCGCCUCCCGCGCCCCCCGCCUCGUCUCCGAGUCGAGUCUCGGCCUCUCGCCGCCCCCUUUCCCGGAGCCGCUCUCGGGGCUCC
ensembl:lncRNA